rnacentral:lncRNA from 1 species
AAAAACAAACAAAAAAUCUAAAUAAAUUAAAACAAGCAAUGUUUAUUAUACAUAUACUUUAGUUUUGAAAUUAAUUUUAUAAUUCACAUCCCGCCCGUAGGGCGGGCCGACCCUAGUAUAUAUAUAUAUAUGUGUGUGAUUUGAUCAAAAAAAAAAAUAUAUAUAUAUGUGUGUGUGUGUGUGUGUGUUAAUUCAUUUAAAA